AUGGUCAGCGACGGAUACCUCCUGCUCAUAUUCCAAUCAUUCAUCGACUCUUCUUUCUCACAGUUAGUCAGGUACGGUGGCCGUUGUUCGCUGGAGAAUUGGUUCGCCCAACUUGACGUCCACUGGGUUCUCCAAAUGCGCGACAAGUAUGGCUGGCGCUUCCAGUUCAGAGACAUGUCUGUAUCGUGCCUCCAAGAAUUGGCUGAGAGGUGGACUCGAGCUCUCACGGUAAUUGUUGUCAGUAUCAAAGAGCUGGUCACUGCCAUCCACGACGUGCCGGCAGUUGCACAGUUUGGCAGAGUGAGCAUCUCACCAAUGCUUGUCUUUGUCGACGCUGCAGUUCAUGUUAAUGAGGCAGAGAAGCUACAGGCCAUGCUACACACAUAUAUCUGUCUGCCCAACGCAUCAUACAACAUGUGUAUGAUGCACUUGAUCUCUUCGGAAGCCCAAAGCAUUUUCAACGACAUAGGCGCCUCGUUAGACAGAGAAAGGAAGAGGUUAAUUGGGGCCAUAUCAAACACGAUGCUCGUGGGUUGGACACUUGACAUUCUGCGAGGGGCGGGCGAGGUACACAGGAACACUCGGUUGUUGGUGAAUUGCAUAACGUUGAUGAGGAAAGCACAUGCUUCAACAAAAAGCUCUGCACACAGCCACUACACUGGAGAGCUUCACGACCUGAUACAUGACACGGUCAAUUAUCUGAAGGAUCUGCUUCUGAAAAAAUCAGCUUUGUGCUCCGACCCAAGCCUCAGGUACAUGUUCUUGCUUAACAAUUCCAAUUUCAUAGCGCAGGUGUCUGAGACAUCGAUAUGCUUAGAUGUUGAGUUGUGCUCUGGACAACAGCGAAGACUUGAACUUAAAAAUGAACGUAAUAAGUACAUGGAUGGUUAUCUUGAUGCUUCUUGGGGGCAUGUGGUCUCCUGUAUACCAAAAUCGAGAUCUCCUGGAUUGAUCCGUGGCUGGAUCAACACCCGUUCACUGGCCAAAUUCGAGUCAGCAUUUCACGAAACGUACCAGGCUCAAAAGCUCUGGAAGGUUCCAGACCCUCGGCUCAGAGAUGUCCUGCGGAGAGCUAUCAUCGAGAGAGUCAUUCCAGGUUACCGUGACUACCUGAAGGAGCAUCCCUUGCUGGAGAAACAAGCUAGUGACGGAAGCAGCAGUCCUGAAGUCUUGGAGGAGAUGCUGGCAGAGCUAUUUGAAGGAUGA
rnacentral:rRNA from 1 species